GACGAACGCUGGCGGCGUGCUUAACACAUGCAAGUCGAACGGAAAGGCCCUGCUUUUGUGUGGUGCUCGAGUGGCGAACGGGUGAGUAACACGUGAGUAACCUGCCCUUGACUUUGGGAUAACUUCAGGAAACUGGGGCUAAUACCGGAUAGGAGCUCCUGCUGCAUGGUGGGGGUUGGAAAGUUUCGGCGGUUGGGGAUGGACUCGCGGCUUAUCAGCUUGUUGGUGGGGUAGUGGCUUACCAAGGCUUUGACGGGUAGCCGGCCUGAGAGGGUGACCGGCCACAUUGGGACUGAGGUACGGCCCAGACUCGUACGGGAGGCAGCAGUGGGAAAUAUUGAACAAUGGGCGGAAGCCUGAUGAAGCAACGCCGCGUGCGGGAUGACGGCCUUCGGGUUGUAAACCGCUUUCGCCUGUGACGAAGCGUGAGUGACGGUAAUGGGUAAAGAAGCACCGGCUAACUACGUG
rnacentral:rRNA from 1 species